rnacentral:rRNA from 1 species
UACAGAGGUCUCAAGCGUUGUUCGGAUUCAUUGGGCGUAAAGGGUGCAUAGGUGGCGCCGUAAGUGGGGUGUGAAAUUUCGGAGCUUAACUCCGAAACUGCAUUCCAUACUGCGGUGCUUGAGGACUGGAGAGGAGACUGGAAUUUACGGUGUAGCAGUGAAAUGCGUAGAGAUCGUAAGGAAGACCAGUGGCGAAGGCGGGUCUCUGGACAGUUCCUGACACUGAGGCACGAAGGCCAGGGGAGCAAACGGG